UUCCUUGAACUGACCCAAACCAGGGCAUGAUGAGGCUUCAGCCCAUGCAUACAGUAGGACUGCAUUCCUUUUCUCAUGUUUCUUUUUCACCUAAAAACAAAUGCUGGAAGCCCAGGAGUUGAUCAGUUCCCAUCUGAACAGGGCCCUCUGAAAGAUGCCCAAUGCACCGUUGCUGGAAGAUCAAAGGCAAAUGCAUAGUCACAGAAAUACUGGUCGAAAGAUGCCUGUGAAGGCCAUCAACUCCAGCCUUCCUCUGCAAGCAGACUGCUGGUGAAUCAGGUCAGCUGAGACACUGUUGAGACUUGGAAGUAUCCGCAGGCUGAGGCACCACAGCCUCUCCAGGCACAGUACAUCCUGGUUUUCCAGAAGAGUGCCACAGAGUAUUGGAGCCUGCCCAGCUCUAUGCUCCUUGAGUAGAGGUCCAGCAGAUGGAAGGGGUGAGCCAGGUAAAACUUCUCCAUAAACACAAGCCCUUUUGUCAGAGGAGAGUGAGACUGCAUCUCCCAGAAAGAAAAAGGCCUGUGGGAUAGCAAAGAAGCCAGGGAAGAGUUCUUCCCCACCUGUGCACCCAGCUUAAUGCCAGGCUGCAUCCACCAAACCACAGCAAUUCAUUGGUAGAUCAGGUGUUGCCCUGAUAAAAGCCAGCAGGGUUUGCUGAUCCAACAUCAUAAAACAGCACACAUUGGCAGCAUUGUGCAUAACAUCUGAAAGCUCUGAAAAUAAGUGCACGCAUCUUAACACAUAGAUAAUGUUUAAAUGCCAUCCCCCAAAACAGGAAAAAAAAAAAAAAGUAAAAUGAAGUCAAAACUCUGGGUUUUAGCUAUUAAAUUUUCUCAUCUGUCUUUCACUUGUUUCCAGUUAUCUGUGGUCUUUUAACAGCUCAGGCAGCAGCACAGGUAAGCAACAGCAUUGUGCUGGCUUGGUAAGUGCAGACAGUUCGGUAUUAGGAGUAUCAUACAUCUGUUUCAGUGUUUGGCCCUGCUUUCUUUGCUGCGUGAGCUCCAGCUCAUGUAUGUCUGAUAAUCAGGAUUGUACUUAAAAUCUGAAAAUAUAUAUUAUACACGGGCAUGGAUGUAUUGUGAUGCAUCACACAAACCAUAUAUCAUUUACCUGGCCAGCCAUAAGGCCUAGAACACUAAUCCCUCUAAGUGGUGACCUUACAGACUUCUGAUGUGACUUGUGGCUGGCUGACAGCUGUGCAUGAGAGCAAAACCUCUGCUCUCCCCCUCAAGCACUCCCUAGGAAACCUCCAGCAGCAGGAUGGGUGAGACAAAUGCUCUGUCUCGUAGAAUGGCUUGGGUUGGAAGGGACCUUAAAGAUCACUGAGCUCCAGCUCCCUGCUGUGGCCAGGGUUGCCAACCGCUAGAUCAAGCACCUCGGCUACCUCAUAAGUCUUGGUAAUACAGCUCAGAAAUGGCACUAAUCCCAGCAAGAGAUACACAGUACAAGUAACACUGGUAGCUGUGCGCAGUGAGAUGAACAGCACUGAUCAAAGGCCAUGAGAUAAUGACUGAUAGAGCUGUGCCGCCCUUUUACAGCCAGGAGGAGGGUAACUAUUUAAACUGUUCUCAAGAAGUGAACUUCAGUCCGUAAGGGAAAAUCUUCAAUAAAGUCUUAUAAAAUAAAUCAUCUGUUUAAAGUUUCACACUGCCAUGAAUGAAAGUCUGAAGUCAAUAGCAGAUCUAUUGUUAGAAAGUACUCUACUUUAUAUGCCAUGACAUUUCCUUAUGAUGGUAUACCAGACAACCAUCUUCAAGAAGUCUAUGAGAGCAGAACAUGAGAGCAGUUUAGCUUCUAGUGGAACAUGUCUGAGGCACACUGCUCUAAGAAAAUGCACGUUCACAAGAUGACAUUUUGAAUGUUUGCGUAACCCAUUCACACAGAAGGAGCAUUCAGUAGGAACGUUGUGGCAGGGCUGCUCAGGGUACAAAUCUCAUUUCAGUGCUUCCUUUUGGGACCAGCCCAGUUCUGUUAUGCUCCCCACCUGCCACUGCUGUAUCCAAGCACGGGAGAAGCAGCUCCGGGCUGAGGCUUGGCUCACUGGUAAAGGACAAAAGGCACAUCCCAGCCUGGGUAAGUCCAUCUGGAAAAUAGCUAGAAUAUGACCAGAGAUAAGUAGGUUAAAUGACCAGAACACCAUUAGAGCGUAUGAUCCUUAAUUACUACUUCCAGAACACUUUGAUGUCCUUAGGGAGGGAGCAUAUAAAGUUCAAAAUGAGUGCUUAAUAAGUGAGAUUUUCAAAAGCAUUUAAAUAGCAAAGGAGUUCCAGAGACCGCUAAGUUCCAUGGGGAGCUUUGAAAUUCCCCCUCAAGAUAAUAAUUGUACGUCCCACUAUUUGUUAAAAAGCCUUUCUUCUGCAGCGAUAGCCUGUAUUACGUAUACACAUUCUGUAGUCAUGUUUUUGUUCUCUGACUAACUGAAAGCAUAGCCUCAGUGUAUCUCUCUGCGUGUUGUGCAAUAGCAGAUUUGGAAUUUGCAUUUUUUAGAUUACCAGACAAUAAAAAAAAAAAAAAAUAGAGAUUGCGUAGAUAUGCGCCACCCUUCAUUAAAGGCAGUGAUAUUCUCUCCCACCCAGCCCUGCCUAACCAACACAGUAUUGCACAUAUGCCUCCAGACAAUGAGACUACCACACCUUUAGCUUCUAAUUAAAAUUAUUAAGUCGAGAAGGAAAGAAAUGCAUUUUAGUCUGUGCUUGUUAGCCAAAUGUCUCGAUAAAACUGAACAUGUUCUGCUGCUGCCCACCAUCUGUUCUUAUAAAUACUUAUUAAAAACACUGAAUGGGAAAAUAAAUUUGUCAUCACUGACUUUCAGGGAUUUACACCAACUCUGCCCUCAGCUUCGUCUCUAAUGCAGGCUAAUAAACAUCUGUGGAACACGAUACAUUUUUUCCCAUUAAAAAUAUUUUGCAUUUGACAAACUUCAGUAGAAAAGAUUCCAAACCAACGCACGUAUGAAGCUGAAUACAUAGAGGAAUGAGGCCAUCUUUAAUGAGGAUGGUAAUCUAAUGGGGCAAUCUUGCUUUUCCUCUCUUGACCCAUUCCUUACAUAUUCUCAGUCUUUGCACUGCUGAAGAAGUCAACUACCACAGAAGCACUACACCUCCCUGCCUUUCAUGAAGAGGGGCUUCAGCUUUGAGGCAUCAAAAAAAAUCUUAUUAAUUUCCCUCCACUGGUGGAAAUUCAAAUAUUUUGCAUUAAUGAGUUAAAAAAUAAAUAAAAAAUCAGACUUAACCAUAGCACCCAGUCCAAUCAUGAUUCUUCAUCUAUUGCACCUGAUAGAGUGAAGAAAUCCCAGCUGAUGCAAUGCAGCUAUCAGUAAAUAGGGGUUGACAAGAAUGUCAGUGCUGUUUCUCUUGCAGACUUCCUAAUGAACUUUAGGCCUAAUCAUCAUUCCCAGGCUCUCAUCAGGCAAUUUAAUUAACUUGCCAUCAGUGUCUUCUGUUGAAGCAGAUAAAACAUUAUAGGUACAAUGUUAUGGCCAGGUGCGAUGACAAAGCCAGUAGUAUUUGGAAAAUGAAGGAAAAGGGGACUUUCCUGAGAACACUGCUCAUCUCUAGAACCAUCAUUCUUUAGUGCCUGAAAGACAGGUAAGUAUCCUCCUGCUUGCAGGAAAAAAUGUGAGCUCUGUUUGCAGAGUAAUUGUUGUUAAUUCAUAUUUUUCUUGGUAACUCUUCUCUCUUCCCACAGAUAGUCCUCCCAGUCAAGACACAGUUCCCAAGACAGAAGUGCCUUUACAAGAGAGAUGAAGGAAUGGUACUAGAUAUCAACAUUGUCGGGGUCAGAAGGGGCUCAUAGGUACAGGUACUAAAUUCCCUGGGGAUCUACUUCAGGUGGGACAGAGGCCAUGGAUUUUUUUCAGCAAUUUUUGGUGAGAAAGAGGCUGAGCCCGUGCUAUUGAAGUAAAUGCUGCUCAGCUGAUACCAAACCAGUUGUGGGCAGCUUAGUACUAAUCCCAUCAAAGACCAGCAGUGUUUAGGUGGUGCAAGGCUGGGACUACAUUGGGGCUGGUGCAGUACUGUAAGGAGAAGUCACACCUCCUCCUCAGGCAGGUGUUCUGCAUCCUGCCAGAAGGGGAAGGGAGAGCAAGGAGAGGGCUGAAAUAUAUCUCAUACCAACUGGAAGGGAGCGUGGUUGUUCUGAACUGCAGGGGCACAAGGCAGUCAAAAAGAACAGCAGCAUGUCUUGAAAUAAUAACAUGCAUUAUUAUUUUUAUAUAUCAUAUAUCAUGUAAUAUGCAAUAAAUUGUUUCUAGCAGACAGCAUGAACAAAGAGUGCCUUUUCCACCAUCUGCAAAUUCUCCCUAGAAACUGUUAGGAGUGGGCUUUCCCCUGCAAUUCCUGGUACCAUCCAUUUCAGGUUAGACUGGAAGUAUUGUGAAAGAGGCUGUCGUUGACUCGUUAACAAACCCAGCUCUUUCAGGCUUCUGACUCUCUCACAUUCAAAUCUACAAAACGUCUCUGUGCACUGAUGCAGAGGUGACCGGGGAUGUUAUCUUAUAAAAGACAUUAGAGUAGCUUCGAAAUUCAGAAAUGAAACUUUGCAUUAUCCCCAAGGCUGCUUAUAGGCCAGCCAAGGUGAGAACAAAGAGGAAAAAGUGAAGAUGGAAGUAGGCACUAGAUUACAACUGAGAUGUGUUUCUGUUUUUUCUCUGUGCAUUUGGUUGGUAUUCUGUUUUUUUUUUCCCCACUCUCUCCCUUAUUUUCAGUACGUACAAUAGUUAACUCUGUAAGCUAGCCAAAACUUUCUGAAGGCAAUGGGAAGGAAUUACACUGGUUGCAAAUAUGCACUGGGUAUAUAUGGCCUUUUGUAAAUAGAAAAGCAUGAGAUGUUCCAAAUCCAACUUAAUAUACUUCAGUAGCUUCACUUUAUAUUUUGUUACUGUAGUAUACUGGAAUCUCAGAUUGUGUUUGGAGUAAAUAGUUGCUGACUAAAAAUCUCAGCAAGUACACACACAGAUUUGUUUCAAGAUUCUGAAAAGAAACAAACUGCUGUCCCCUUCUAAAAUCUCUGAAGUUUUGGAGUUCUUGCAGAUUUUCAUCCCAGAACCAAAAAGCAAGAAGCUGGAAGUGCAGGAAAAGAGCAUGGAAGGAGAUUGACAUCUGUUUUCCCUUCACCGCCCUAAAGCAGCUCAGCAUCUGUUCCUGAGCAGCUGAGGAACCUCUGCUGUGGAGGCAAGAACCUUGGAGAGAAGGGCAGGGCACAUUUCCUGACUAAAGUCAAAGGCACAAGGUGCUGGCCAACACUGAGAUGCCAAACUGGAGGCUGGUGCACCCACCAGAUCUCUAGGAUGUCUCUCGGAGAUUGUGCAGAUCCGAGCAGCAGCACAAAGCAUCGUGAAGUCAAAUGUAACAUUAAAAAUGCAUUCAGCAUGGUAAGUCAGCGUAUCCUUCUACCUAGAUUCCUUUGAAAAUCAGAGCUCAUCUGGGACAAGUAUGACUCCAUGUAUGUGAGUAUAUAGCGAACACUGUUGAACUUGUUGGAGACCUUUAACGUUAUCAAAAUACAACUAAUAGUAAUUAAUAUUUACUUGUCAUAUAGCCUCUCCAAUGAAGAACUAAAAUCAAAAUUAUAACCCUUCUGGGAAUAUGCCAAAGCUGAAGGAAAAGCUAGAAGCACACUAUUCUGUAAUCAGGUCAACUUACCUCAUAGCACUUGCUGUAAAAAUAUGAAUUACAUUAUGUUCCUUUGGCAUUUCUGUGGUUGCCAAUUAUAUUCAAACAUUGUAAAGAGCCUUGCAAACAAUUUGGAUGGAUUCAUGGCUUGCAGUAAGAAUGGCUGUACCCACAGAGCAAGCCUGUGCCAUAGCAAACUUCUCUGCGUUGGUCCUGGCUGCAUCCCAGCAGUACCACAAGGCAAGGCCUGGGGGUCACCAACUCCUGCCUGAGGGAAGCCCACAAAGCAAAUAGAAAGGGAAAUACUGCAGAGCACAGCCCAUCAGCAGUGGGUGACAUGCAGCUGCAAGCACUUAGUCCCUCAGGAGCAGGAUUAACCAAAUCAGUGGUUCUUGGGACAAUGAUGAUGGACUUUGGGUUUAGUAGGGAAAGUGCUGGUGACAGGUAUAAUGGAAUCAUAGUUUAAAUAUAGGAGAACUACAUGCUUUUCUCUUUUUCCUUUUUUUUUUUUUUUUUUUUAAUACAUCGGUAUGUAAAUGGAAAGUCUGGAGUGCUGUUAUAGUUUAAUUUUUAAAUGGCUGAAGAUCCCAAAACUUUUUAUUUCUUCAGCUGCUUCAUAUACACAUUUGCACACACAACUUUGGAUGCUUGGUAUCUUUGAAAUUCAGGUCAUAUCCACUUGAUAGGCAUGUUUGGGCCUAAUUUUUACUUAUCUUUUAAAAAAUAAAUUUUGGUAAUAGUCUUCAGAAGUAGGAAAAUAGUGAGAAAUUUCUACUGUCAUGCAUGUUCUCACUUUACAGCCAAUCUGAAGUCUACAUGUUCAAAUAAAUCAGUGCUCAAGGACAUUGCUGUCUUCUUCAGGCUUAGGGAGUUAUGCCCAGGCCCAGGAGGUGUGUUUAGGUGCCUAAUGACCAGUGUAUUCCAUAGAUGUUUAAAUAUUAUCACUUAACCAGGACCUGCAUCCAUCUCUGGGCAGAAACAGACAGGAAAUUUUUAUAUCUAUCUAUCUAUCUAUUUUUAUAUCUAUUGAGGUAGACAAAAACUUCUACUUGGGACCCUUCUCAGCACUGCUGCAAGGUACAGGGUGGGGUGGAUAGGACGAAAGGGCACCCAACAUCAGCUGGGAUUGCCUCCCACAGCCAAACAGGGCCACAGCUCUCAGGCUGCUCAGGACAUGCACAGAACAAAACCUGCAGCAGCAUGUGCCCAGGAGAGCUCUGCUGUUUCCAAACACGCUGCAACAGCUGCAGAUGCCGCCCAGACACAGCACAGUGCCCAUCUUGCUCCCUUACCACAUGGUACGGACCCUGCUGCUUCUUGAAACUGCCCACGUGCUUGUACAAACCUGUACUUUGCAAAUGCUCACACACGGUGCAUGCAUGAAUUAUUCCCAGGUAUCUGUAAAAUUUAGUUUUGAAAACUGUAAAAUAAUGGCCUGACAACAAGCUGGUCAUAUUUUCCAUGGUUCAUUUACCUCAAACAAACUGAAGGAUCAGCAAAUGUUUUGUAUUAACUUAUUGUUGAGCCAUCCUUGAUUAAGAAAUCGGUUCUUCCUGAAACUUUAUCUGGGAGUGGUCAGGUCUCCACACAGCAUUUCUGCUGCUUUCCUGAGCAAUGGAAGGACCAACACCAGCAAAGAUGGACAACACUUGAGUACUGCCAUCUGUGAUACAAUCAACAGAGCCCCACAGCACUGUUGUUUGGAUCAUUUGGUGCCCAGUUCUGCUCCCACCGAGUUCACAAGAGUUUGUGAUGGGGCAUGUUCAGGCUUCCAGUGUAUUAGUAAUAAUGCUAAUGAUAUUGUAUGUUUUGCCUGCAUUACAGUCUGGUGCUUAGAAAAUAAACAUCUCGGCUUUGCCUCAGUGUUUAUCUCCAAUAAAUACCUCAGCUUUGCCUCAACAAUUAUCUCUUCACAGCAGACCAUUAUCCAGCAGCAACAUAUAAUUCCAUUAACAUUACCGUUUAAAAUAUAUCCUCUCCG
ensembl:lncRNA